AAAGGCCCAUGGGUUAUUUGGUCUUGGAGAUGUGUUGUGGGCCAUGGCCAUCAUAUUUACGGCAUGUCUUUCAGACGCCAGCUUGAGAUUAGUCAACUUCACCUCCUCCUCUGGUGCAUGUGCCUGGCGUGUGGAAAUUUACCAUGGUGGCAACUGGGGGACAGUUUGUGAUGAUUCCUGGGACAUUCAGGAUGCCCAGGUGGUCUGCAGACAGCUGGGGUGCGGUGAUGCAGUAUCAGCGCAGGGAAACGCCUAUUUUGGCUCUGGCUCUGGCCCCAUCACCCUGGAUGACGUGGCGUGCUCAGGAACGGAAUCUACUCUCUGGCAGUGCCGGAACCGAGGCUGGUUCUCCCAUUAUUGCACCCACCACGAAGAUGCUGGAGUCAUUUGCUCAGGACAAUAUGCAACGACCCCUGCUCCUGUUUACAGCU